UGAGGCGUGAUGGGGAAGGCCCUUGAGGCUGAAGUACAUGAUUCCAUGCUUCCAAGAAAAGCAUCUAGAGAGAGAAGUAGUGCCCGUACCGCAAACCGACACAGGUAGAUGAGGAGAGAAUCCUAAGGCCGGCGGUAGAAUUGCAGUUAAGGAACUAGGCAAAUUGACCCCGUAAGUUAGCGAGAAGGGGUGCCUGCGAGAGCAGGCCGCAGAGAAUAGGCCCAAGCAACUGUUUAGCAAAAACACAGGUCUCUGCUAAAGCGCAAGCUGAUGUAUAGGGGCUGACGCCUGCCCGGUGCUGGAAGGUUAAGGGGAACACUUAGCGCAAGCGAAGGUGUGAACUUAAGCCCCAGUAAACGGCGGCCGUAACUAUAACGGUCCUAAGGUAGCGAAAUUCCUUGUCAGGUAAGUUCUGACCCGCACGAAUGGCGUAAUGACUUGGGCACUGUCUCAACUGCAAAUCCGGCGAAGUUGUAGUGCGAGUGAAGAUGCUCGCUACCCGCGAUUGGACGGAAAGACCCCGUAGAGCUUUACUGUAGCUUAGCAUUGAAUUCCGGUAUUGUCUGUACAGGAUAGGUGGGAGACUGGGAAACUAGGGCGUCAGCCUUGGUGGAGUCGUCCUUGGGAUACCACCCUGACAGUACUGGGGUUCUAACAGGACGCCAUGAAUCUGGUGACUGGACAUUGUUAGGUGGGCAGUUUGACUGGGGCGGUCGCCUCCUAAAAAGUAACGGAGGCGCCCAAAGGUUCCCUCAGAACGGUCGGAAAUCGUUCGUAGAGUGCAAAGGCAGAAGGGAGCCUGACUGCGAGACCUACAAGUCGAGCAGGGACGAAAGUCGGGCUUAGUGAUCCGGUGGUACCUCGUGGGAGGGCCAUCGCUCAACGGAUAAAAGCUGCCUCGGGGAUAACAGGCUGAUCCCCCCCAAGAGUCCACAUCGACGGGGAGGUUUGGCACCUCGAUGUCGGCUCGUCGCAUCCUGGGGCUGUAGUAGGUCCCAAGGGUUGGGCUGUUCGCCCAUUAAAGCGGCACGCGAGCUGGGUUCAGAACGUCGUGAGACAGUUCGGUCCCUAUCCGUCGCGGGCGUAGGAAAUUUGAGAGGAGCUGUCCUUAGUACGAGAGGACCGGGAUGGACUGACCUCUGGUGCACCAGUUGUUCUGCCAAGAGCAUGGCUGGGUAGCUAAGUCGGGAAGGGAUAAACGCUGAAAGCAUCUAAGCGUGAAGCCUCCCUCAAGAUGAGAUUUCCCAUAGCAUAAGCUAGUAAGACCCCUUGAAGAACACGAGGUUGAUAGGUCAGAGGUGUAAGUGUGGUAACAUAUUUAGCUGACUGAUACUAAUAGGUCGAGGGCUUGAC
rnacentral:rRNA from 1 species